GCCAGUGUGGUGUAGAGGUUUGAGUGCUAGACUAUGACUCUGGAGACCAUGGUUCGAAUCCCAUCUCAGCG